rnacentral:rRNA from 1 species
CCUACGGGUGGCAGCAGUGAGGAAUAUUGGUCAAUGGCCGGAAGGCUGAACCAGCCAUGCCGCGUGAAGGUCAGUGCCCUAUGGGCGUUAAACUUCUUUUGUGCGGGAGCAAUAAUGGUCACGUGUGGCCAGACGAGAGUACCGUACGAAUAAGCAUCGGCUAACUCCGUGCCAGCAGCCGUGGUAAUACGGGGGAUGCAAGCGUUAUCCGGAUUUAUUGGGUUUAAAGGGUGCGUAGGGUGUGAGGUAAGUCAUCGGUGAAAUGCCCCAGCUCAACGGGGUGAAGUGCCAUUGAUACUGCCUUGCUGGAAUGCGGAUGCGGUGGGAGGAAUGUGUGGUGUAGCGGUGAAAUGCAUAGAUAUCACACAGAACACCGAUUGCGAAGGCAGCUCACGAAUCCGCGAUUGACGCUGAUGCACGAAAGCGUGGGUAUCAAACAGGAUUAGAUACCCUAGUAGUC